CAUCUUGGCUAAUAGCCAUUGAUGGACCUAUCCUCCAUGAAUUUAUCUAGUUCUUUUUUGAACCUUCUUAUAAUCUUGGCCUUUACAGCAUCCUCUAGAAAAGAGUUCCACAGGCUGGCUAUGCAUUGUGUGCAAAAACACUUUUU